UUUUUAAACCUUUCUGGAGGAGCUUGCUAUUAAACCGAUAACCCACGUUACACCUCACCAAUCUUUGAAAAAUCAACCUGUAUACCAUCGUCCUCAGUACACCUUCCAAAAGAAGUCCACAAAAAGAAUAUUUAAUAUCCCUUCUUUACGUCAGAUCGAGGUGCAGUUUAUAGAUUGGGAAUAAGUGAGCUACAAUAUUUCCAAUAAAAAUAAUCAAAACACAAUUAUGGAUAAAAAUAUGAAAAAUAAUUUAAAAUAGAAUUCAGAAGUAAUAAAAGAAAGAAAAAUUUUAUGAAAAAUAUUAGCUCUAAAAUACGU
rnacentral:rRNA from 1 species